GACGAACGCUGGCGGCGUGCUUAACACAUGCAAGUCGAACGCUGAAGCUUGGUGCUUGCACUGGGUGGAUGAGUGGCGAACGGGUGAGUAAUACGUGAGUAACCUGCCCUUGACUCUGGGAUAAGCCUGGGAAACUGGGUCUAAUACUGGAUACGACAUGUCACCGCAUGGUGGUGUGUGGAAAGGGUUUUACUGGUUUUGGAUGGGCUCACGGCCUAUCAGCUUGUUGGUGGGGUAAUGGCUCACCAAGGCGACGACGGGUAGCCGGCCUGAGAGGGUGAACGGCCACACUGGGACUGAGACACGGCCCAGACUCCUACGGGAGGGAGCAGUGGGGAAUAUUGCACAAUGGGCGAAAGCCUGAUGCAGCGACGCCGCGUGAGGGAUGACGGCCUUCGGGUUGUAAACCUCUUUCAGCACGGAAGAAGCGAAAGUGACGGUACGUGAAGAAGAAGCGCCGGCUAACUACGU
rnacentral:rRNA from 1 species